UCUAUACAGGCGCAGUUUGAUUUGGCCUUUGUGGUGCGAUACAAACCAGAUGAACAGCCCUCACUCAUGCCGCACCACGAUGCCUCCACCUUCACUAUAAACAUCGCUCUAAACAGCGCUGGCACGGAUUACGAGGGAGGAGGCUGCAAUUUCCUGCGAUAUAAUUGCUCCAUCACAGCCCCAAGAAAAGGCUGGGCAUUAAUGCACCCAGGACGAUUAACUCAUUACCACGAAGGCCUCCCAGUGACAAAGGGAACUCGAUACAUCUCUGUUUCCUUUGUGGACCCAUAAAUGGCUCACUCCCAAAAAAACAUUUGAAAGAUUACAGUGUUACAUGAAUAAAUGUUAAAGGAAUGGAUCCCACUAAAAGUCACUACAGAAGAAGAUUGCCUACAGACAGGGAACGCAGCCUUUGUUGGAAAGACAGUCAAGUAAUGCUGAGAAACUGGACAUUUCGUUGCAUACACAGAAAAUAAAUUGACUUGCGAUUCGUUCUGCCACGUCGCACUGUGAAAGAAAGGGCCGUGUUAAAUGAGGUUAUGACAUCCGCGUUUAGAACAAAAACAUAAAACUGCUCUUUAACCCAAAGAUGUGCCUUAACGAAGAUUGAUCAUUUCAAUAUGAGUUCAUGUCCAUCUUUUAUUCCAUGUGUCAAAUGAUCAUUCUAACAGGAAACGCUAUUUAUCAUAGGUGUAUUUAAAGUUCUAAUUCAGUGCAAAUUAACUUACUAUUUAAAAAACAAAAACAGGAAUUGACAAGAGAAUUUCAAAUAUUAGAACAAAAUCGUUGAGAUAGAAAUUCUUUGAGCUAUUGUUCAUUUUGAAUAUUUUGUCCCUAAAAUUUUAAAUGCCCUGUCAACUCUUCCCAGUUCUCAGCUAAGUGAAUAAAGCUCAUUGUCUUA